UACAUGGGGUGCAAACGUUGCUCGGAAUUAUUGGGCGUAAAGCGCACGUAGGCGGUUCGUUAAGUCGGAUGUGAAAGCCCUCGGCUCAACUGAGGAAGUGCACCCGAAACUGGCGAGCUUGAGUACGAAAGAGGAUCGCGGAAUUCCCGGUGUAGAGGUGAAAAUUCGUAGAUAGUCGGGAGGAACACCAGUGGCGAAGGCGGCGAUCUGGGUCGAUACUGACGCUGAGGUGCGAAAGCGUGGGGAGCAACAGG
rnacentral:rRNA from 1 species